AUCGCUAUCUCAAGCUCCGGAAACGGAUGAUGGGGCUGGACGAGCUGCACUACUACGAUCUCUAUGCCCCUCUCGUUUCCAGCGUGGACCUGACGUACUCCGCGGACGAAGCGCGUAAGAACAUCGUGAUGGCGCUGGCCCCUCUGGGACCUGGCUACACGUCGGUGAUCGACAAGGCCUUCCAGGAGCGCUGGAUCGAUCUCUAUCCGACGCCGGGCAAGCGUUCCGGGGCCUACUCCAACGGCGGAGCCUACGACGUUCACCCGUACAUGCUGAUCAACUACAACGGCAGGUAUGACGACAUGAGCACCGUGGCCCACGAGCUCGGGCACACGAUGCAGAGCUACUUCUCGAACAAGUCACAGCCAUUCGUCAACG
rnacentral:misc_RNA from 1 species